rnacentral:rRNA from 1 species
UACGGGGGGAGCAAGCGUUGUUCGGAUUUACUGGGCGUAAAGGGCGCGUAGGCGGCCUCCGCAAGUCGACUGUGAAAUCUCCGGGCUUAACCCGGAAAGGUCAGCCGAAACUGCGGGGCUAGAGUGCAGAAGGGGCAACUGGAAUUCUCGGUGUAGCGGUGAAAUGCGUAGAUAUCAGGAGGAACACCGGUGGCGAAGGCGGAUCUCUGGGCCUGUCCUGACGCUGAGGCGCGAAAGCUAGGGGAGCGAACAGG